rnacentral:rRNA from 1 species
GCCUACGGGAGGCAGCAGUAGGGAAUCUUCCACAAUGGGGGAAACCCUGAUGCAGCGACGCCGCGUGAGUGAAGAAGUAUUUCGGUACGUAAAGCUCUAUCAGCAGGGAAGAAAAUGACGGUACCUGACUAAGAAGCCCCGGCUAACUACGUGCCAGCAGCCGCGGUAAUACGUAGGGGGCAAGCGUUAUCCGGAAUUACUGGGUGUAAAGGGAGCGUAGACGGCAGCGCAAGUCUGGAGUGAAAUCCCAUGGCUUAACCAUGGAACUGCUUUGGAAACUGUGCAGCUGGAGUGCAGG